rnacentral:rRNA from 1 species
CCUGUUCAGGGGGAUAACCUCGCGAAAGUGAGAAUAAUACCCCAUAGUUCACCAUGCCUGGAACGGUUGGUGGAUGAAAGCUCUGGCGGAACAGGAUGGGUCUGCGGCGUAUCAGGUAGUAGGGGGUGUAAUGGACCUCCUAGCCCUCGACGCGUACGGGUUGUGGGAGCAAUCGCCCGGAGAUGGAUUCUGAGACACGAAUCCAGACCCUACGGGGUGCAGCAGGCGCGAAAACUUGACAAUGCGAGAAAUCGUGAUCAGGGAACUCCAAUUGUCCCCGUUUUUACGGGGUUCUGAAUUGACUCUAAACAGGUCGAGUAAUAGGGGCGGGAAAUAUCGGUGCCAGCCGCCGCGGUAAUACCGAAGCUCCAAGUGGUCGUCGUUCUUAUUGGGCCUAAAACGUCCGUAGCCGGUUUGGUACAUUCGUGGGUAAAUCAGACAGCUUAACUGUCUGAAUUCUGCGAGCACGGCCAAACUUGAGACCGGGAGAGGUGUAGGGUACCUGCGGGGUAGGGGUAAAAUCCUGUCAUCCCGUAGGGACCACCAGUUGCGAAGGCUCUACACUAGAACGGAUCUGACGGUCAGGGACGAAGCCUAGGGGCACGAACCGGAUUAGAUACCCGGGUAGUCCUAGGUGUAAACGCUGUGGACUUUGUGUCGGGAAUUCUUCGAGGAUUCUCGGUGCCGGAGUGAAGAUGUUAAGUCCACUGCCUGGGGAGUACGGUCGCAAGGCUGAAACUUAAAGGAAUUGGCGGGGGAGCACUGCAACGAGAGGAGCGUGCGGUUUAAUUGGAUCAACGCCGGG